GGGGGGAGCGCCGGAUCUUGGGAUGUGUCCCCGGCGCCGGUGCUCCCGGGCCUGUGCUGUUGGAUUCACACUCCUGGCCGCGCAGCCUGCU
rnacentral:pre_miRNA from 1 species